AGUUGGCUUUAUCGAAGACAUGGAUUAAAUCAUUUCCUUGACAGUCAUGGUUCUCUUUGCUGUGACUGAUGUACAUUUUGGGAAAAGACAGUU